rnacentral:rRNA from 1 species
UACGAAGGGGGCUAGCGUUGCUCGGAAUUACUGGGCGUAAAGCGCACGUAGGCGGCUUUCUAAGUCGGGGGUGAAAUCCUGGAGCUCAACUCCAGAACUGCCUUCGAUACUGGAGAGCUCGAGUCCGGGAGAGGUGAGUGGAACUGCGAGUGUAGAGGUGAAAUUCGUAGAUAUUCGCAAGAACACCAGUGGCGAAGGCGGCUCACUGGCCCGGUACUGACGCUGAGGUGCGAAAGCGUGGGGAGCAAACAGGAUUAGAAACCCCGGUGAAGUCCCAGAACCACG